CACGUAGGAUGCGAGCGUUGUCCGGAAUUAUUGGGCGUAAAGAGCUCGUAGGCGGUGUGUCGCGUCGGCCGUGAAAACCUGCAGCUUAACUGUGGGCUUGCGGUCGAUACGGGCAUCACUGGAGUUCGGCAGGGGAGACUGGAAUUCCUGGUGUAGCGGUGAAAUGCGCAGAUAUCAGGAGGAACACCGGUGGCGAAGGCGGGUCUCUGGGCCGAUACUGACGCUGAGGAGCGAAAGCGUGGGGAGCGAACAGG
rnacentral:rRNA from 1 species